rnacentral:rRNA from 1 species
AAUCAACGCUGGCGGCGUGCCUAACACAUGCAAGUCGAACGCGAAAGCCUCGCAAGAGGCAAGUAGAGUGGCGCACGGGUGAGUAACACGUAGGUAAUCUACCUUUGGAUGGGGAAUAACAACCGGAAACGGUUGCUAAUACCGCAUAAUGCAGCGGCACCUAAUGGUGACAGUUGUUAAAGCGGGGGAUCGAAGACCUCGCGUCUGAAGAGGAGCCUGCGGCGGAUUAGCUAGUUGGUAAGGUAAUGGCUUACCAAGGCUACGAUCCGUAACCGGCCUGAGAGGGCGGUCGGUCACACUGACACUGACAUACGGGUCGAGACUCCUACGGGAGGCAGCAGUCGGGAAUUUUGGGCGAAUGGGCGAAAGCCUGACCAGCAACGCCGCGUGAAGGAUGAAAUCCCUCGGGAUGUAAACUUCGCAAGAACGGGAAGAAUAAGCGAGAGUUAAUAUCUUUCGUGAUGAC